AAGGCAGCUCUGAAAUGAAUGGCUUCAUUUAAUCACAAAAGAAGGAAUACCAGCAAGACCACCCAGGCCCCAGCUCCGGUUUUUCCUGAAGAAUUUGGCCGCAUCUCCCUUUUUGAAGGCAGAGUUUCAUCUUGUAAGUAUAAGAUUCCUUUGUUUCUUUGAUGAUCCUAAAGCACUGGUGUCAUCUGAGGGAAAUGACCUUUUAGGUAACAACACCAGCCAUCACUGGGGGCUUUCCGUGUAAGAGGACCACACUGAAGUCACAGGCUAUGAAGCUGUCCUAUAAGAGGCAGGUGAGGCUCCCUGGGCAGGUAACAGGUGGGGAAGAGGCAUCCAGGCACAUGUCGUGCUGUGGUUCACAAAAGGUGCGACCACCACUAUCUACAAGAGGCUGACAAAAACUAUUUUGCAAAAAGAGAACCAUGACUGUUUGGAUCUUGAAAAGUUUAAGGGUCCUCCUCCCCUCCCCAGGCGGCCAUGAGCAUCUGCCCUGCACAUUGCAGGCACUUUACAGCUGUAUAACGACAUCUCCACCGUGGUGGUGGCCACAUUUAUUGGCUUUGUGACAUUCAUCAGGGCUUCCUUCUUAUUAAAAAUGCAUGGGCUGCAGCUAUUUGGAAGGACACCAGAUAUAUUCACUCUAGGUAGAAAAUAUUUCUCCUUUCUCCAGGAACCCAAAUGAAGCACCCCAGAUCUUGGGGAAUACAGAGAAGUGAGUGGGCAGAGAGUCUGUGGUGGCAGAGGUGGGACACAGAGCCGAGCUGUCCCCAGGUUAGGUGUCUCAGAUGAAGGAAGUCCCCCAGACCGCAUUUCCUCCUGGAGUGAUUCUGCCUUAUUGACUGUGAUGGUAAAGAACUGACUGUGUAUUUUCCAUUUAUUUACUCCCAUAUAUUCUCCACUUUAAUGCAGGGAGGUAAGAUUAGGGAGUUGGCCCAUUUCGUCCCUUUGAUUUCUUGUCACUCAGCCCCAAAUGCAGAAGCUCAGUGGACUAGCUGCUCCCAGGGAAUGACAAACAGCUUGAACAUUUCAAGGGACUAAAAGUUGAUGGUGGCAGGUGAGAGAGGCCAGUGGGGGAGGAAAGAACCGGUCCUGAGGAGGCUCCUCCUCAAUUCUGUUCAGUUUUUAAAACUAGAGUUUUUUCCUCUUAGUUCCUUCCCUUGGCCUUGAGGCUGUCCCAGUAGACACAGGGAGGUUGGGGCAGGGCUGGAGCCACACUGCGCAUGCUCCAUUCCAAACGGUAUGGCGAGCACUGCGCAUGCGGG
rnacentral:lncRNA from 1 species